GUGUCAUAUCUCGCACGUAGACGUAGGAACACUUUAUAUACAUACGUAGCCAGCCAAAAGGUCACCUUGAGGACGGACGGGGCGACCCAUGGACUGUCUGUCCAUCAUGGAGCACUAUGCGCCAGCUGCUGGUCGGCUGGCUUGUCGGGAUACUCUGUCUCCGGUCCGACAGAGUUGUGGCGCUGCGAAGGGCCCGACGGCGGGAUGAGCAGCCUGGCGCGCGGCAGCUGCUCGCCGAACAUCACCGCCGGCCGUCUGCUGCCGAUGCUUCUCGAGCCGUCCACGGCGACGGCAACGAGGAGGACAAGGAAGACCACGACGGCUGCACUAGCAGUAGCAGCGCGUGGUCUGCAGAGGCGGCGCGCCAUUUUGGUUGUGCUAUAACUGAGAUUUUGGUCUGGGAUCGAUGGGAACAAUGGUGAAU
rnacentral:lncRNA from 1 species